GAUGAAGAACGCAGUGAAAUGCGAUAAGUAAUGUGAAUUGCAGAAUUCAGUGAAUCAUCGAAUCUUUGAACGCACCUUGCGCUUCUUGGCAUUCCGAGGAGCAUGCCUGUUUGAGUGUCAUUAAAUCCUCAACCCCAUCUUCCUUGUGAAGUGGUCAGUUGGACUUUGGGAGCUGCUGGCUUGGUGUCAGCUCUUCUGAAAUAAAUUAGCAGGGAACCUUAUGUGCUGGACUGCAGCUUGGUAUUGAUAGUUGUCUUACCAGGUGACAGUCAGGCAUUUACUCUGCUCACAGCCGUCUCUAGCUUGAGACAAGUGACUUGACGAUUUGACCUCAAAUCAGGUAGGACUACCCGCUGAACUUAAGCAUAUCAAUAAGCGGAGGA
rnacentral:misc_RNA from 1 species